rnacentral:tRNA from 1 species
ACCUGGCUGGCUCAGUCGGAACAGCAUGUGACUCCCGAUCUCAGGGUCCUGGGUUCGAGCCCCACGUGGGGUG